AAGGCGUGAGCUUAUCUCAGAGAAUUGUGUCUUAAUGAGUUUUGGCUGGGAAUGCAAGACAUUCCCAGCAUUCCUGGGGAGUAGAA